ACACUGCUGAGGAGUCCCACAACUAGGACGAAACGGCCGUCCAGUAC
rnacentral:hammerhead_ribozyme from 1 species